GAUGAACGCUGGCGGCGUGCCUAAUACAUGCAAGUCGAACGCGCAGCGAAAGGUGCUUGCACCUUUCAAGCGAGUGGCGAACGGGUGAGUAACACGUGGAUAACCUGCCUCAAGGCUGGGGAUAACAUUUGGAAACAGAUGCUAAUACCGAAUAAAACUUAGUAUCGCAUGAUACAAAGUUGAAAGGCGCUACGGCGUCACCUAGAGAUGGGUCCGCGGUGCAUUAGUUAGUUGGUGGGGUAAAGGCCUACCAAGACAAUGAUGCAUAGCCGAGUUGAGAGACUGAUCGGCCACAUUGGGACUGAGACACGGGCCCAAACUCCUACGGGAGGCUGCAGUAGGGAAUCUUCCACAAUGGGCGAAAGCCUGAUGGAGCAACGCCGCGUGUGUGAUGAAGGCUUUAGGGUCGUAAAGC
rnacentral:rRNA from 1 species